rnacentral:lncRNA from 1 species
ACCAUUUGAGGAGCCUAAAAAGAUAAGCCAUGAGGAAUGUUCUAAUUAAUGUCUUGGAUAAUUGAAUUUCCCUUAUCAAUUUGCAUGAAUUGAAUAUCCAUUAACAAUACUAGGUCUAAAUCUUUAAAUUUGUAUUCCAACCAAUUGUAAGUUUAUAAAUCAAUAUUUUUCACAUUACCAACAUGUGAUAUACUAUGUUCCUCUAAAGAAAAGGAAUGAUUAGUGUUAGGCCAUAUUGAAGAAUAAACAUGAUGAAUGAUGUUUUUU